rnacentral:misc_RNA from 1 species
GAUGAAGAAACGUAGCGAAAUGCGAAAAGUAAUGUGAAUUGCAGAAUUCAGUGAAUCAUCGAAUCUUUGAACGCACAUUGCGCCCGCCAGUAUUCUGGCGGGCAUGCCUGUCUGAGCGUCAUUUCAACCCUCACGCCCCUAGGGCGUGGUGUUGGGGAUCGGCCAAGGCCCGCAAGGGACGGCCGGCCCCUAAAUCUAGUGGCGGACCCAUCGUGGCCUCCCCUGCGAAGUAGUAAUAUAUUCCGCAUCGGAUAGCGAUGAGCCCCUGCCGUUAAACCCCCAACUCUUUCAAGGUUGACCUCAGAUCAGGUAGGAAUACCCGCUGAACUUAAGCAUAUCAAUAAGCGGAGGA